rnacentral:sRNA from 1 species
CUUUAUCUAUUUUUAAUCUGUUCUAAUCUGGCCUAUGUCUGUGUCACAGAGGGACACCCUUCAGAAGGGCAUGUGGGCUUCCGGAUGAGUAGCUGAUGAAAUGUUUCGUGGUCAAAGGAGUGUACGUCCUGCAGUGUGAAGAUGAGGAAGACAAGAGUCCUCCCGCUGGAUGCCGGGUGACAAGAUGGUCAGGACAAACACAAUGGAGUCUAGCCCAAAGUCAUCUGACACUGAGUCAGUCUGGGCCUAGAGGACCCAGGAGUCCCGACACCUGGAGUUUGGGGAGGUACAGGUUUCGGGACCAGUGUGUGGGCAGGGGUGUGGAGUGCAGACAGCAAGGAGGUGCGGAUGCAGAAGAUCGAGGUGGAGGUGCGGAGGAAAUGAAGGCAGAGUUGUAAGGAAGGUGCAGAUGGAGUGGAGUAGGCACAAUUGCAGGUGGAGAAGCAGGUAGCAGGUGAUGGACAGGUGGGGGUGGGGGUGACACAUGGAAACCAGGUGCUUGCCUCGGGAAUGUGCUGCAGGCCCAUACGUCAUUAGACGAUGUUAUGAGAGGGUUUCUCAGCUCCCCGAGUACAGCCCUGUCUACAGACCCCGGAGACCGGAAAGGAGGAACACCAAAGUCACAGCGGAAGAAGUCAGGGAGGACGUCAUCUGUGUGAGGAGAAUGCUCUUCCUGGAUGGGUCCAAUUCGCUCCAGAUAAUUGAUUGUUCUUCCACCAGGUCAGCCACUUGGUGGCGCUGUGAGCAUGAAAGGAGGGCACUGUAGCCAAUAAGCAAGACUGGAGAUCUAACUAGAGUCUAGGCAACUUAAGGAGCUCCGCCUACAUCCAGGCCCCACCUGGAAACAAAGACGGACUUGGAGAGGUCCUGUGAGACACCAGGAGACAGACGGGGCAGGGAUGACGACUGUCUGUCUCAUGACAGGAAACUGGGCUCUUGAGGUUAUGAGACCUAUGCAACUUUCCUUGACUCAGUACUGUUUGGUUAGGAAAGGGCAGCGUAUGUGUGCAGUAAACAAUUUGGAGGGGAGUCACAGAGAACUGGUGAACUCUAGCUGCCCCCUACAGACCUCCCGCAUCGAGGAAAAGGAAGACACACAAAGUGAACCAAACCUGGGAAACCUACAGCUCAAAAGAGUGAAGCAGGGCCGGGCAGUGGUGGCCCACACCUUUAAUCCAAGCACUAGAAGGCAGAGGCAGGCGGAUCUUCAUGAGUUCAAGGCUAGUCUAGUCUAUAGAGCAAUUUCCAGAACAGCCGGAGCUACACAGAGAAACCCAGUCUUGAAGAAACUAACAAAUAAACAAAUAACAGCAAUAAAAAGUGAGGUAGGGCCUGUCAGGAAAGGCUGAUGACAAGGCCUUGACUGGGCACGGCUGUUCUCCAACCUCUCAGAACCCUGUGCCUGCUAAAUGUGACAGUGUCGCGGUAGGGUGACUAUGGAUGACAAUAAUAGACCAUAGGUUUAAAAAAAAAAAAUGAGAGCUGGAAUUUGUUUUUGAGUCAGGGUCUCUGUGUAACCUCGGAACUCACUACAUACGCCCAGGCUCCCCUCACACUCAGAGACUGCCUCUGCCUCCCAAGCUCUGGGAGGAAAGGUGUGCACCACCACACCCUGCCUGAGGGCUGGAGUUUUAACUCUGAGGUAGAUCCCUUGCCCAGCAUGUAGAGAGACCCAGCACCGAAGAGAAAAAACAGGAGAGGCUAGAAAGAUGGUCCAGGGAUUGAGAGAACUCACUGCUCUUGCAGACAAUCUGAGUCUAGUUAUUAACACCCAGUCAGGUGGCUGACAGUCACCUUGGACUAUCAACUCUAAGGGUACCUGAUGCCCUCUUCUGCCCUCCUUGGGCACUACAGUCACAGAGCAGCAUAAAAUAAAAAUAAAUAUACUUUUUUAA